AAGUCGUAACAAGGUUUCCGUAGGUGAACCUGCGGAAGGAUCAUUAUUGAAGGGGACCUCCGGGUCCAACCUUAAACCCUUUGACUUAAUACCCGUUUCUUUGGCGGCUUGCCGUCAGAAGUUUUCUCAAACCCAUUAUAAACGUGUCGUCUGAACAACAUCAAUAAAAUAAAACUUUCAACAACGGAUCUCUUGGUUCUG
rnacentral:misc_RNA from 1 species